GCGUGCGUGAAGAAGGCCUUAGGGUUGUAAAGCGCUUUCACUGGUGAAGAUGAUGACGGUAGCCAGAGAAGAAGCCCCGGCUAACUCCGUGCCAGCAGCCGCGGUAAUACGGAGGGGGCAAGCGUUGUUCGGAAUUACUGGGCGUAAAGGGCGCGUAGGCGGAAUGUCAAGUUAGGGGUGAAAGGCCUGGGCUCAACCCAGGAACGGCCUCUAAAACUGGUGUUCUGGAGACCGGAAGAGGAUGGCGGAAUUCCCAGUGUAGAGGUGAAAUUCGU
rnacentral:rRNA from 1 species